UACAGAGGGUGCGAGCGUUAAUCGGAAUUACUGGGCGUAAAGCGUGCGUAGACGGUUAUCUAAGUCGGAUGUGAAAUCCCCAGGCUCAACCUGGGAACUGCGUCCGAUACUGGCAGGCUUGAAUCCGGGAGAGGGAUGUGGAAUUCCAGGUGUAGCGGUGAAAUGCGUAGAUAUCUGGAGGAACACCGGUGGCGAAGGCGGCAUCCUGGACCGGUAUUGACGCUGAGGCGCGAAAGCUAGGGGAGCAAACGGG
rnacentral:rRNA from 1 species